rnacentral:rRNA from 1 species
GAUGAACGCUGGCGGCGUGCCUAAUACAUGCAAGUCGAGCGAAUGGAUUAAGAGCUUGCUCUUAUGAAGUUAGCGGCGGACGGGUGAGUAACACGUGGGUAACCUGCCCAUAAGACUGGGAUACCUCCGGGAAACCGGGGCUAAUACCGGAUAACAUUUUGAACCGAAUGGUUCGAAAUUGAAAGGCGGCUUCGGCUGUCACUUAUGGAGGGACCCGCGUCGCAUUAGCUAGUUGGUGAGGUAACGGCUCACCAAGGCAACGAUGCGUAGCCGACCUGAGAGGGUGAUCGGCCACACUGGGACUGAGACACGGCCCAGACUCCUACGGGAGGCAGCAGUAGGGAAUCUUCCGCAAUGGACGAAAGUCUGACGGAGCAACGCCGCGUGAGUGAUGAAGGCUUUCGGGUCGUAAAACUCUGUUGUUAGGGAAGAACAAGUGCUAGUUGAAUAAGCUGGCACCUUGACGGUACCUAACCAGAAAGCCACGGCUAACUACGUGCCAGCAGCCGCGGUAA